CAUGUUGCAACCGCUCGCGCAAUCCAGCACCUCUCUGGAAUUCGCCAGAGCCGAACACAAGCGCGCUCCUGGGUCUGCUUCAUUCCUGGGACAGAGUGGAGUGGUGAAGAAUCAGGGAUCUGGGAAAAGCUAGCACUGUUUACUCUUCAUGGUGGCGGGGGAACCCAGGAUCUUGUUUUCUGUAACCACGUGCUUAUCUAAGAUUAACUCUUGUC